AUGACCUGUGGCUGGGGGUGAAAGGCCAAUCAAACCGGGAGAUAGCUGGUUCUCCCCGAAAGCUAUUUAGGUAGCGCCUCGUGAAUUCAUCUCCGGGGGUAGAGCACUGUUUCGGCUAGGGGGCCAUCCCGGCUUACCAACCCGAUGCAAACUGCGAAUACCGGAGAAUGUUAUCACGGGAGACACACGGCGGGUGCUAACGUCCGUCGUGAAGAGGGAAACAACCCAGACCGCCAGCUAAGGUCCCAAAGUCAUGGUUAAGUGGGAAACGAUGUGGGAAGGCCCAGACAGCCAGGAUGUUGGCUUAGAAGCAGCCAUCAUUUAAAGAAAGCGUAAUAGCUCACUGGUCGAGUCGGCCUGCGCGGAAGAUGUAACGGGGCUAAACCAU
rnacentral:rRNA from 2 species